UACGUAGGGUGCAAGCGUUGUCCGGAAUUAUUGGGCGUAAAGAGCUCGUAGGCGGUUUGUCGCGUCUGCUGUGAAAACCUGAGGCUCAACCUCAGGCCUGCAGUCGAUACGGGCGGACUUGAGUACUGCAGGGGAGACUGGAAUUCCUGGUGUAGCGGUGAAAUGCGCAGAUAUCAGGAGGAACACCGGUGGCGAAGGCGGGUCUCUGGGCCGAUAUUGACGCUGAGGAGCGAAAGCGUGGGGGAGCAAACAGG
rnacentral:rRNA from 1 species